AUGGGGAUCUCACUGCUCCACACGCAGUGGCACCUAUUCGCCCAGCUGCCCCAGCAAUGGCAGCUCCUCCUCCUUCUCGCUGGCCUCCUCCUCCCCGUCGUCUCGUACCCGCUGCUGAUAACGAGGGGCAAUGUUGAGGGAGGACGGCUGAGGCUGCCGCCCGGCCCUGCGCGGGUGCCGGUGCUCGGCAACCUGCACCAGCUGGGCCCGCUGCCGCACCGCAGCCUGCGCGACCUGGCCCAGCGGCACGGCCCCGUCAUGCUGCUCCGCCUCGGCACCGUGCCGACGCUGGUGGUCUCGUCUGCUGCUGCGGCGCGCGACGUGAUGAAAGCGCACGACGCCGACUGCUGCAGCCGAUUCGCGUCUCCAGGCCCCGCGCGGCUCUCCUACGACGGCAAGAGCAUCGCCUCCUCGCCCUACGGCCCCUACUGGCAGGACAUGUGCAGGCUCUUCGUCGCCGAGCUCUUCGGCCCGCGGGGCGUCCGCUCCGUAUGGGACGCGCGUCGGCAGCAGGUUGACAGGCUCAUGGCCACCCUGGGCACGGCGGCAGCGACGGCGGCUCCGGUGGCGAUGGACCAACACGUGUUCCGCGUCGCCGACGGCAUCAUCGGCACCGUGGCGUACGGGCGCAUCUACGCCGCGGAGGCGUUCGCGCGCAAGUACGAGCAGUUCCAGCACGUGCUCGAGGAGGCCAUGGCCAUGUCGGCCAGCUUCUCGGCCGAAGACUUCUUCCCCAACGCCGCCGGCCGCCUCGUCGACCGGCUCGCCGGCAUCAUCGCGCGGCGAGAGAGAAUCUUUAGGGACCUCGACGCCUUCUUCGAGGCGGUGCUGGAGCAGCACCUGGACCCCGCGCGCCCCAAGCCAGAGAGCGGCGACGGCGACCUGGUAGACGCCUUCGUCAGCGCCUGUGAGGAGCACGGCUUCACGAGGGACCACGUGAAGGCCAUGCUCCGGUGGCACAAGAUGAGAUCAGGGCCGCGGUGGCCGCCAGCGAUGUUUCGCCGCCGGACUCGGGGUUGCCGGUCCAGCCGGACGACCUGCCCAAGCUAA
rnacentral:rRNA from 1 species